GGACGAUAAUGACGGUACUUUAGGAGGAAGCUCCGGCUAACUACGUGCCAGCAGCCGCGGUAAUACGUAGGGAGCGAGCGUUGUCCGGAAUUACUGGGUGUAAAGGGAGCGUAGGCGGGAUUGCAAGUCAGAUGUGAAAUACAUGGGCUCAACCCAUGGGCUGCAUUUGAAACCGUAGUUCUUGAGUGAAGUAGAGGUAAGCGGAAUUCCUGGUGUAGCGGUGAAAUGCGUAGAUAUCAGGAGGAACACCGGUGGCGAAGGCGGCUUGCUGGGCUUUUACUGACGCUGAGGCUCGAAAGCGUGGGUAGCAAACAGGAUUAGAUACCCUGGUAGUCCACGCCGUAAACGAUGAUUACUAGGUGUGGGGGGACUGACCCCUUCCGUGCCGCAGUUAACACAAUAAGUAAUCCACCUGGGGAGUACGGCCGCAAGGUUGAAACUCAAAGGAAUUGACGGGGGCCCGCACAAGCAGUGGAGUAUGUGGUUUAAUUCGAAGCAACGCGAAGAACCUUACCAGGUCUUGACAUCGUAUGCAUAGCAUAGAGAUAUGUGAAACCUCUUCGGAGGCAUAUAGACAGGUGGUGCAUGGUUGUCGUCAGCUCGUGUCGUGAGAUGUUGGGUUAAGUCCCGCAACGAGCGCAACCCUUACCUUUAGUUGCUACGCAAGAGCACUCUAAAGGGACUGCCGUCGACAAAACGGAGGAAGGUGGGGAUGACGUCAAAUCAUCAUGCCCCUUAUGACCUGGGCUACACACGUACUACAAUGGCAAUUAACAAAGAGAAGCAAGACGGUGACGUGGAGCGAAUCUCAAAAAAUUGUCCCAGUUCAGAUUGC
rnacentral:rRNA from 1 species